UACGGAGGGAGCUAGCGUUAUUCGGAAUUACUGGGCGUAAAGCGCACGUAGGCGGCUUUGUAAGUUAGAGGUGAAAGCCUGGAGCUCAACUCCAGAAUUGCCUUUAAGACUGCAUCGCUUGAAUCCAGGAGAGGUGAGUGGAAUUCCGAGUGUAGAGGUGAAAUUCGAUAGAUAUUCGGAAGAACACCAGUGGCGAAGGCGGCUCACUGGACUGGUAUUGACGCUGAGGUGCGAAAGCGUGGGGAGCAAACAGG
rnacentral:rRNA from 1 species